rnacentral:rRNA from 1 species
CCUACGGGAGGCAGCAGUGGGGAAUAUUGCGCAAUGGGCGAAAGCCUGACGCAGCGACGCCGCGUGAGGGAUGAAGGUCUUCGGAUCGUAAACCUCUGUCAGCCGGGAAGAAAGGUCACUGUGCUAAUCAGCAGUGAAUUGACUGUACCUGCAAAGGAAGCACCGGCUCACUCCGUGCCAGCAGCCGCGGUAAUACGGAGGGUGCGAGCGUUAAUUGGAAUUACUGGGCGUAAAGCGCUCGUAGGCGGUAUGUCAAGUCAAGGGUGAAAUCCCCGCGCUCAACGUGGGAACUGCCUUUGAAACUGGCAAACUUGAGUGUGUGAGAGGAUAGUGGAAUGCCAGGUGUAGGGGUGAAAUGCGUAGAUAUCUGGAGGAACAUCAGUGGCGAAGGCGACAAUCCGGCACAGAACUGACGCUGAGGAGCGAAAGCGUGGGUAGCAAACAGGAUUAGAUACCCCAGUAGUC